GUGCGGAGACGGGAAUCGAA
rnacentral:tRNA from 1 species